rnacentral:rRNA from 1 species
UACGUAGGGUGCAAGCGUUGUCCGGAAUUAUUGGGCGUAAAGAGCUCGUAGGCGGUUCGUCGCGUCGGCUGUGAAAUCCCGAGGCUCAACCUCGGGUCUGCAGUCGAUACGGGCGGACUGGAGUUCGGCAGGGGAGACUGGAAUUCCUGGUGUAGCGGUGAAAUGCGCAGAUAUCAGGAGGAACACCGGUGGCGAAGGCGGGUCUCUGGGCCGAUACUGACGCUGAGGAGCGAAAGCGUAGGGAGCGAACAGG